UGGGGAAUCUUGGACAAUGGGGGCAACCCUGAUCCAGCGACGCCGCGUGGGUGAUGAAGGCCUUCGGGUUGUAAAGCCCUUUUCCUGGGGACGAUGAUGACGGUACCCGGGGAAUAAGCACCGGCUAACUCCGUGCCAGCAGCCGCGGUAAGACGGAGGGUGCUCGCGUUGUUCGGAAUGACUGGGCGUAAAGGGCGCGUAGGCGGCUUCGUGCGUCGGGGGUGAAAGCCCGGGGCUCAACCCCGGGAC
rnacentral:rRNA from 1 species